GCCUGUGUGGCUCAGUCGGUUAAGCACCUGACUUUGGCUCAGGUCAUGAUCUCACAGUUUGUGAGUUCAAGCCCCGCUUCAAGCC
rnacentral:tRNA from 1 species